rnacentral:rRNA from 1 species
UACAGAGGGGGCGAGCGUUGUUCGGAAUUACUGGGCGUAAAGGGCGCGUAGGCGGCCUGCUAUGUCGAACGUGAAAUCCCCGGGCUCAACCCGGGAACUGCGUCCGAAACUGGCAGGCUUGAAUCCGGGAGAGGGAUGUGGAAUUCCAGGUGUAGCGGUGAAAUGCGUAGAUAUCGGGAGGAACACUAGAGGCGAAGGCGGCGACCUGGACAGGCACUGACACUCAACUACGAAAGCGUGGGGAGCAAACAGG